rnacentral:rRNA from 1 species
GAUGAACGCUGGCGGCGUGCCUAAUACAUGCAAGUCGAGCGAACAGAUGAGGAGCUUGCUCCUCUGACGUUAGCGGCGGACGGGUGAGUAACACGUGGAUAACCUACCUAUAAGACUGGGAUAACUUCGGGAAACCGGAGCUAAUACCGGAUAAUAUAUUGAACCGCAUGGUUCAAUAGUGAAAGACGGUUUUGCUGUCACUUAUAGAUGGAUCCGCGCCGCAUUAGCUAGUUGGUAAGGUAACGGCUUACCAAGGCAACGAUGCGUAGCCGACCUGAGAGAGGGAGCGGCGAAGCGGGAAAGGAGAUACGGGCAAGAGGGAGAGGGGAGGGAGGAGUGGGGAAUAGGGGGCAGAGGGUGAGAGCAUAAUAAAACAAUAGGGGGUGAGGAGUGAAGGUGAUGGGAUUGUAAAAGUCUGUUAUGGGGGAAGAACAAAGGUGGAAGGAACUAUGGGCGGAGGGACGGUAGAGAAAAAGAAAACAACGGAAAACUACGUG